UACAGAGGUCUCAAGCGUUGUUCGGAUUCAUUGGGCGUAAAGGGUGCGUAGGCGGCGCGGUAAGUCGGGUGUGAAAUCUCGGGGCUUAACUCCGAAACUGCAUUCGAUACUGCCGUGCUUGAGGACUGGAGAGGAGACUGGAAUUUACGGUGUAGCGGUGAAAUGCGUAGAUAUCGUAAGGAAGACCAGUGGCGAAGGCGGGUCUCUGGACAGUUCCUGACGCUGAGGAGCGAAAGCGUGGGUAGCAAACAGG
rnacentral:rRNA from 1 species